UAGCGACCGCAGAUGUUUACAAAAACAAAAAUGUCGGCGAAGACGGCUUGACACGCGAUUUUUUUUUUUCAAUAAUUUGCAUACUAUUCGAUUAACUAUCGUUAGAAAAAUCUCAAAAGUGGACUGCUUUCCAUUAGAAAUGGCGAAUCAAUCGAAUGGCGAAUUAUCAGGAGCUGAAAUGCUCGAAAACACCGGGUGUCUGGACCUGCAAAACGGUAACAGCGGUGCGAAAGAUGCCUAAGAAGCCCACGGGACCAGCGUCAGGGACUACUAGGAAAUCUCAGGAAAUACGGUCUCAAAAGCAGAAAAAUGCUCUCGGAUGUGAAUGCUACUGAAUAUUCACAGGAGAACCAAACGGAGCUGAGUUCUGAGCAAGGCAGAUUCUGUGGAAUUAGAAUUUUAGUCAUCUAGAAUCGGGCAUGGGUCUAAGUUUUAGGUUUUAAGUGCAAUUUGUUGAAUUCAUUUCCAUGUAUUGUCCACGAUUGAAUAUUAAUAAAAUGAAAUGGGAGUUUUAUUUUCAACAGUU